rnacentral:rRNA from 1 species
CCUACGGGAGGCAGCAGUGGGGAAUAUUGGACAAUGGGCGAAAGCCUGAUCCAGCAAUGCCGCGUGAGUGAAGAAGGCCUUCGGGUUGUAAAGCUCUUUUACCCGGGAAGAUAAUGACUGUACCGGGAGAAUAAGCCCCGGCUAACUCCGUGCCAGCAGCCGCGGUAAUACGGAGGGGGCUAGCGUUGUUCGGAAUUACUGGGCGUAAAGCGUACGUAGGCGGCUUUGUAAGUCAGAGGUGAAAGCCCACGACUCAAUCGUGGAACUGCCUUUGAGACUGCUUCGCUUGAAGAUGGGAGAGGUUAGUGGAAUUCCGAGUGUAGAGGUGAAAUUCGUAGAUAUUCGGAAGAACACCAGUGGCGAAGGCGGCUAACUGGACCAUUCUUGACGCUGAGGUACGAAAGCGUGGGGAGCAAACAGGAUUAGAUACCCUGGUAGUCCACGCCGUAAACGAUGAUAACUAGCUNUCGGGGCUCUUGGAGCUUCGGUGGCGCAGCUAACGCAUUAAGUUAUCCGCCUGGGGAGUACGGCCGCAGGUUAAAACUCAAAGGAAUUGACGG